AACGUAGGACACAAGCGUUAAUCGGAAUUACUGGGCGUAAAGCGUGCGCAGGCGGUGAUGUAAGACAGAUGUGAAAUCCCCGGGCUCAACCUGGGAACUGCAUUUGUGACUGCAUCGCUGGAGUACGGCAGAGGGGGAUGGAAUUCCGCGUGUAGCAGUGAAAUGCGUAGAUAUGCGGAGGAACACCAAUGGCGAAGGCAAUCCCCUGGGCCUGUACUGACGCUCAUGCACGAAAGCGUGGGGAGCAAACAGG
rnacentral:rRNA from 1 species